AUCCAUUCAUCUAGAAAAAAGGGGGAGCCUGCCUUAGAGACUAUUUUUAAGAUUUUUUCCUUAUCCCACAGCUCCAUGGGAAGGUCAGGGAGAUGGAUCCAAAUCCUGACUUGGCAAACCAUAUCUCUGCAGGCAUUAAAUUUCGAAUGCCAACUCUCGAGGGCUAGCAGUUGCCCUGCCAAAGACCAAGAGCCCUUGGCAAGAAUCCGAGAUUGAGCUUCCACUGA
rnacentral:lncRNA from 1 species